ACAUGCCUACAACAUAGCGGUAAUGCACUGGAUCCCAUUAGAACUCCGCAAUUAAGCACGCUUGGGCUAGAGUAGUACUGGGAUGGGUGACUGCGCAGGAAGUCCUAGUAUUUUACAUGCC
rnacentral:rRNA from 1 species